CUUUUCAUCAUUGGAACUGUUGGAGGAGCUCCAGUGACGUAAAGCAAACAAGUCGUUUUUUAUUCCAUGAAGCUGGAACAAUGGUUGUUAGUUAUACCAAGAAUCCCACCUUCAGUCCAACUACGUGACUUUGGUUAUGGUUGGAAAAGGAGCCGGAUUGUGUGGGAGCACGAGGGCCUGAUGGUCCAACAGGAGAGAAUGGCAUUAAAGGAAAGAAGGGACUCGACGGCCCUCCUGGAAAACUUGGUUUUCCUGGUCCACAGGUAAAGUUUCAGGGUGUUUUUCUACUUUCCACUCCUAUCUCACAUUAAUUAUGUGGUGCUUAUGUUACCCUGGAGGGGAGAGGCAUCAAUGUGAUUUAAAAGACCU
rnacentral:lncRNA from 1 species